rnacentral:rRNA from 1 species
GAUGAACGCUAGCGGCAGGCUUAACACAUGCAAGUCGAGGGGCAGCACGUCUUCGGAUGGUGGCGACCGGCGCACGGGUGCGUAACGCGUAUACAAUCUACCUUUUACAGGGGCAUAGCCCGGGGAAACCCGGAUUAAUAUCCCAUGGCACCAUGAUAUGGCAUCAUAUUAUGGUUAAAGCUUCGGCGGUAAAAGAUGAGUAUGCGUUCUAUUAGCUUGAUGGUAAGGUAACGGCUUACCAUGGCUUUGAUAGAUAGGGGUCCUGAGAGGGAGAUCCCCCACACUGGUACUGAGACACGGACCAGACUCCUACGGGAGGCAGCAGUGAGGAAUAUUGGACAAUGGGCGAGAGCCUGAUCCAGCCAUGCCGCGUGCAGGAAGACGGCCCUAUGGGUUGUAAACUGCUUUUAUACGGGAAGAAACACUCCCUCGUGAGGGAGCUUGACGGUACCGUAUGAAUAAGGAUCGGCUAACUCCGUGCCAGCAGCCGAC